rnacentral:rRNA from 1 species
AUACGGAGGAUCCGAGCGUUAUCCGGAUUUAUUGGGUUUAAAGGGAGCGUAGAUGGAUGUUUAAGUCAGUUGUGAAAGUUUGCGGCUCAACCGUAAAAUUGCAGUUGAUACUGGAUAUCUUGAGUGCGGUUGAGGCAGGCGGAAUUUGUGGGGUAGGGGUGAAAUGCUUAGAUAUCACGAAGAACUCCGAUUGCGAAGGCAGCCUGCUAAGCUGCAACUGACAUUGAGGCUCGAAAGUGUGGGUAUCAAACAGGAUUAGAUACCCUGGUAGUCCACACGGUAAACGAUGAAUACUCGCUGUUUGCGAUAUACAGCAAGCGGCCAAGCGAAAGCGUUAAGUAUUCCACCUGGGGAGUACGGCCGCAAGGUUGAAACUCAAAGGAAUUGACGGGG